rnacentral:rRNA from 1 species
UACGGAGGGGACUAGCGUUGUUCGGAAUUACUGGGCGUAAAGCGCACGUAGGCGGUUUGUUAAGUCAGGGGUGAAAUCCCGAGGCUCAACCUCGGAACUGCCUUUGAUACCGGCAAUCUCGAGUCCGGAAGAGGUGAGUGGAAUUCCUAGUGUAGAGGUGAAAUUCGUAGAUAUUAGGAAGAACACCAGUGGCGAAGGCGGCUCACUGGUCCGGUACUGACGCUGAGGUGCGAAAGCGUGGGGAGCAAACAGG